UACUAGGGGGGCGAGCGUUGUUCGGAAUUAUUGGGCGUAAAGGGUGCGUAGGCGGUUUGGUAAGUCUCUUGUGAAAUCUCUGGGCUCAACUCAGAGUCUGCAAGGGAAACUGCCGGGCUCGAGUGUGGGAGAGGUGAGUGGAAUUUCCGGUGUAGCGGUGAAAUGCGUAGAUAUCGGAAGGAACACCUGUGGCGAAAGCGGCUCACUGGACCACAACUGACGCUGAUGCACGAAAGCUAGGGGAGCAAACAGG
rnacentral:rRNA from 1 species